AUUGAACGCUGGCGGCAUGCUUUACGCAUGCAAGUCGAACGGCAGCGGGGAGGAGCUUGCUUCUCUGCCGGCGAGUGGCGAACGGGUGAGUAAUACAUCGGAACGUGUCGAGAAGAGGGGGAUAACCACCCGAAAGGGUGGCUAAUACCGCAUAAAUUCUGAGGAAGAAAGCUGGGGACCUAGGAAUAGGCCUAGCGCUUUUUGAGCGACCGAUGUCGGAUUAGCUAGUUGGUGAGGUAAAGGCUCACCAAGGCGAAGAUCUGUAGCGGGUCUGAGAGGAUGAUCCGCCACACUGGGACUGAGACACGGCCCAGACUCCUACGGGAGGCAGCAGUGGGGAAUUUUGGGCAAUGGGGGCAACCCUGAUCCAGCCAUGCCGCGUGUAUGAAGAAGGCCUUAGGGUUGUAAAGUACUUUUGUUAGGGAAGAAAAGUCAGCUGUGAAUAAUGGCUGAUACUGACGGUACCUAAAGAAUAAGCACCGGCUAACUACGUG
rnacentral:rRNA from 1 species